GCUUUCGUGGUGUAGUGGUAGCACGCGCCCCCGUAUGGCUGGAACGCGGGUUUAACUCCCGUCUGAGGUCG